rnacentral:lncRNA from 1 species
ACAGUUUGGCCUGUCAAUCAAUCACUGUGGGUGGGAUUGUCAGGGGAGGGGGCAGGAUGUUUGUAACAGAGUUGUUAUGGUUUCAGAUCUGUCAAUCAAUCACUGUGGGUGAGACUUUGAGGGAAUAGAUUAGUAAUCCAGUCAGAAAAGUCUACUCUUUCAAUAUAAUUUAUUGUGGCAAAGACCUAAGAAAAAAAGUUGUGUUUUGUCAAGUAAAUAUAGAUUACAUGCUAAGAAACAAUGUAGAGUUGCAGAAAAAAAUAAAAACUUUAAAAGUCCCCAUCAGAUUGUGCACCCCCCCCAAUCUUAAACAUAGUCAAGUGUCCAUGAAUAGACCUGCAGGUGUGAUUGAUGAAUGAAGCAGGUGUUAAACAUGGAAUCUGCUACAUAGAAGGAAGCAGUUGACUGCUUUCGUGUUCGACAUUUUAAUCAAAUCAGUAGGCCUACAUCAAUAUCAUGACGUUAGAUUUUAUAACCUUAAAUUUGUUUUCAUCUAUCGUAUUUUGGACCAGAACGAGGCUCUUUCUCCACUACCUAUUGUUCCUGCAGUGAGGCUUUAACAUCUUCACCUAAUGUUUUCAGAAUUUAUCUUCAAAUAGUCGCCAAAAUAAAUAACAGUAGUGGUCUACCAGUGUGCAAAUUAGGGAGCCAAAUGAACGACUCUCUCUCUCACCGAUAUAAUUUAGUUCCGUUCACCUAAAUGAUCCGUUCAAAAAGAGCCAUUCGUUCACAAACAACCCAUCACUAGUCAACACUGACGAGUCACUUUAGCGCUCACUGGCAAGUCAAGACAUGGUCUUCAAAUCCUAGGAAAAUACAAAGGAAAUUGUUGGUUUACUGUACAGAUGCGAUAUAAAAAAAGAAAUGGAUCUGCCACAAAACAAUAACGUAGUGGAUUUCAACUCAUCAUGACCACUUACGUCACAUGGAUUUGUGGAAAUACACUCACGUGAAAGGAUGAAGAAGCAUCAUGCUCUCCCUGCUACGUGAAAAUAAAUUAGACUGCAGCCAACAAGAACAAACACAAACCCAGGUACUGAGAGGCGGGACAGACAGCAGACUGACCAACCAGCAGUGUCCCUGUCAUCGCUUGCUAUGUGACUGACAGGCGUCUGUCCUAUCAAUAGACCACUAGAAGAUACAUUUAGUUCUUCUAGCGGGAUAAGGCUAUACACACAUUUCUGACUAGCAAAUGUAAUAUUUUUUAAAUGAAAAUAAGCCUAGUUAAUGAAUGAAGUGGAAAAAGUAACUGGCUAACAAUGAGGCUGUUCUCGGCUGUUUAUUUAACACUGUAUUGUCUUCCCCUAGUUUGAAGACUGAAAUGAGAGAAAAGUAGGUCGAGUCUGUAGGGAGAGCAGGCCUUUCAGAGAGUAAGGUCGGUCGAGUCUGUGGGGAGAGCAGGCCUUUCAGAGAGUAAGGUAGGUCGAGUCUGUGGGGAGAGCAGGCCUUUCAGAGAGUAAGGUCGGUCGAGUCUGUGGGGAGAGCAGGCCUUUCAGAGAGUAAGGUUGGUCGAGUCUAUGGGGAGAGCAGGCCUUUCAGAGAGUAAGGUCGGUCGAGUCUGUUUGGAGAGCAGGCCUUUCAGAGAGUAAGGUCGGUCGAGUCUAUGGGGAGAGCAGGCCUUUCAGAGAGUAAGGUCGGUCAAGUCUAUGGGGAGAGCAGGCCUUUCAGAGAGUAAGGUCGGUCGAGUCUAUGGGGAGAGCAGGCCUUUCAGAGAGUAAGGUCGGUCGAGUCUGUGUGGAGAGCAGGCCAUUCAGAGAGUAAGGUUGGUCGAGUCUGUUUGGAGAGCAGGCCUUUCAGAGAGUAAGGUAGAUCGAGUCCAUGGGGAGAGCAGGCCUUUCAGAGAGAGAGUGAAGAAGAUGAAGAUGACGGGAGUAGAGUGAUGAAGGGUACCGAGUCACAGCAAACCAAUGCCUGGGAACACAAACACACACACACCUCACUCACCCAGGUUGUGCUCGGUGAACAACGGCAGAUUGACGCUCGAGUUGAAGCUCCCUGGAGUAGAAAAGAUGCAAUAACCACAUCCACUUUAAUACAAUAGGUUAGCAAGCUUGAAAUAAACAAAUAUCACACUUGUAUUCAUUUGAAAUGGAGAGCAGAGAAGAAAGAAAGGGUGGUGACUAAUACAGUAGGUCCUGUACUGUGACUACUACAGUAGGUCCUGUACUGUGACUAAUACAGUAGGUCCUGUACUGUGUGAUGUGACUAAUACAGUAGGUCCUGUACUGUGACUAAUACAGUAGGUCCUGUACUGUGACUAAUACAGUAGGUCCUGUACUGUGACUAAUACAGUAGGUCCUGUACUGUGUAAUGUGACUAAUACAGUAUGUCCUGUACUGUGUACUGUGACUAAUACAUUAGGUCCUGUACUGUGACUAAUACAGUAGGUCAUGUGCUGUGUGCUGUGACUAAUACAGUAGGUCCUGUACUGUGUACUGUGACUAAUACAGUAGGUCCUGUACUGUGACUAAUACAGUAGGUCCUGUACUGUGACUAAUACAGUAGGUCCUGUACUGUGUAAUGUGACUAAUACAGUAGGUCCUGUACUGUGUGAUGUGACUAAUACAGUAGGUCCUGUACUGUGACUAAUACAGUAGGUUCUGUACUGUGUGAUGUGACUGUAGAGAUUUUGUGACCAUAGUACAGUAGGUCCUAGUGGUAGGAAUGUAUGACUCACUCUUCCUGGGGUACUCAGGUAGAGGAUCCACCUGGUAGGCACUACGGAGGAAGCUGGGCUUGGGUCUCUCCUUUUCCUCAGCAGCCUUUACCCUGACCUCCCCCUCCCUCUCGGGGACUGGAGCAUGAAGGAGCACCUCCUGGUCUGAUUCUCCCAGAUACCCUUUACUCCCAUCCACCACUUGCCUCUCCUGGGUUUCCGCGUCUCUCUUGUUCCCCUCCUCUUCAGGCUCCUGGUCCAAAUCCUCCAUCCUCUCCUCCUCUUCCUCUUCUUCCCGGUGUCCGGCGGUGUUGCUACUCCCGUCACUACCAGUCCCAGACGUGUGCGCCACGCUCUCCUCGUCCGAGAUGAUGUCAUCAAAGAACUGGUCUUCAUCGAGGACGUCAGAGGGAGUGGGAGGGAUCAGGUUGAUGACAGGUGGGGUGAGGAGGCUACCUGUACCUGAGCCUCCAGGUGUGUCAAACAGAAUUGAGUCCUCCUCCUCCGCUACCUCCACCUCCUUCUCCUGCUCCUCCAUUGCCUCAUCCUGCUCCCCUUCGCCUGUUAUGUUUCUCCUCUGGUUUGCCCCAGGCUCCUCCUCGCUGGCUGGGCUUCUCCUCUUUGUCUGCUUUCCACCCGGCUGGUCUCCUCCCGGCUGGUCUCCUCCCAGCUGGAGAGGAAGGGAGGACAGAGGCUUCAGCAUUCUUUUCUUCUUCAGUGCCCUGCGGACGGCCGACACAGAGUUGGAAGAUGGACUAAAAGUACUGAACAUCUGGACUGGUGCAACCUCCUCUUUGGUCAGGGUGAAGCUAGGGUUGGCCAGCCCAAGAUCCUCCACCGUGAUGUGGAUAGCACUGGCCUCUCCCUCCCCUGAGAUCCCCUGGUCGUCCCCAAGACAAGUCCACUCUAGCUGUGUGUCCCUCUCCCCGCUCUGCCCUCUCUGGCUCUGGCCUGGUAUUAGUUCUUUGUCCUCUCCUCCCACACAGGAGCAGCAGCAGCACAGCAGCCUGCAGGAGAGACCGUGUAUGUUCUUCCUCCACAGACACAGACGAUGCAUUCGAGGACCAUGCAACCUCUCUGCCUCCAUCUCUGCAGCCAUGUCUUCCCAAUCCCAGAAAAUAAUGGAUAAAUCCAGCACACUGGUGAUCUUGAUGUUUCUGAAAAUGCUGUUGGUUUUAUUUUACCAGCAUUUCCCAACCGUGUCUGUCAUGCGUUCCCUGCCAAUUCAAUGCACAUCCUCGGGCAGUCUCAGACAAUCUCAGACCACAACGAUGCCAUUCUUCAGUUUCAUCUGAUAAGAUAACUUCUCUGACAUGUCAGAUGACUCUGCACAUCCUCGGGCAGUCUCAGACAAUCUCAGACCACAAGGAGGCAAUUCUUCAGUUUCAUCUGAUAAGACAAUUUCUCUGACACGUCAGAUCACUCUGCACUCCACUUACCUCAGACAGCCCCCCCCAAAAAAAAAAAAACAAGGAGGCUGGUAUAGUUGCUAAACUAGUGUCUUCCGAAAUCUGUCUUGUCAUGAGCUUGGCAAGCAAGACUAUUGGUAAACACGGUCUUGUUUUCUAUCUGAUAAGCCUUCGUCAAUAGUCUCACGGAAGGAUGAACAGCGAACAGCCACCCACACCUCUGCACUGUACUCCUGCUCUUACCCUUUGAUAGGUUCUGGAGGCUUCGCACGCCAUGCAAAUAUAUCUUUCUGCAGUCUGUGUUGCUUAGCAAAGCAGAGAGUACUAACUUAUUCAUGUCGCUGCUCUGGGUCGUCAGAGGAACACUUCAAAUGAACAUCAGUUUUAAUUAAAAAAAAAGGCCUUUCG